GGAGGCAAAAGACACUUCCUACUUUUUACUUCUUGUUUGUAUUUGAUAUUUCGUGUUUAUUAUUUUGCAUUUUAACUUACACCCCUAAAAGCAUUAUGCCAACUGGUAUGAAGUUCGUGCAGGUUAAUAACCUGCAUGAUUUACCUACUUAUCAGAAACGUUUGCGUCAUCUGCGAUGUUUAGCAGUAAGAAACCUAUCCUGUGGAAGUUACCAUGGCAAAGAGACUACCAGGAUGCAGACUUAUUUUACACUGCACAAGGAUAACUUCACUAAGGCAUUCUACACAAGUGAGAAAAUCACAGGAUCUGUGAAUCCGACCUGGAAAAGUUUCAACAUCAGUCAGUAUGAGAAAGACAUUGAUACGAAAUCAACAUUUAUAGUCCUGCGGAUCUGGGUAGGCGAGGAUGUGGCCUUUAAACUGCUCAUAGAACUUCAAGUCCACCUCACAGGACUUGUCUUCUUUGCUGAGAAGCUUCAACAAGGUGGAGUGAAGUAUACCCCAAACACUGUGAUAUUUGGAAUGUUUGAUAAAUACUUCAUCGCUCCCGAGUUACCCAACCAGGGACAGGCCACUGCAUUGCAGAAACUAAAGACCGAAGAAGACCUUAAUCCACCAAAGAACAGCUUCGUUCUCAAAUGCGAUCAGUGCGCUGUGAGAAAUUCAUACUCGACAAGCUCUUUGUCACGAAUUCACACCAUCCUGAAAGCUACGAAGCAGACACAAGCCUCAGUUAACAGAGUGCAUUGCUCAAUUGAAGACUGUCUGCUUUCAUCGCAGGAAAUCACACAAAAGCUACGCGAGCGUGAACAACUCCUGAUGAAGGUUGGACAACUCCGGCAGGAAUUGCGAUGGCAGUCGAUGAAGCGCCAGUGUGAAAGUGACACCGUCGGAAGAAUUCAUGCUUCCAAUAACAAAAGAGAAAACACUUUGAAAGAAGAAGAAAAGACAUUGGAGAAGUCAAGAAAAUCAUUGGAUGAACACAGAAAGUCUUACGUGGAUAUUCGAGAAACGCUGGUGAAAGUGAACGCCCAGUUGGUGAUGAGACGAAAGCAGUUGGUUGGAGAGAUGGCCUCUUACAUUUAUCCCAUUACAGAGAAUUCCAAGAAACGUUUUUUUAUCUGUGGAGUCAGACUUCCCAAUUCAGAAGAAUUUCAAGGUUGUGAUGAAACUACAAUAGCGGUUGCCUUGGGGUCGACGUGUCACAUGACGAUGAUGAUUUCUCAGUUUCUCGACUUCCCGCUGCGGUAUACAAUGGAGGCCCGUGGAUCGCGGGCGCUGAUCAAAGAUCACAUUCAUGUGAAGCUCACAGACAAAGACAGAGAAUUCCCACUGUACAGUAAAGGCAAAGAGAAAUUUCAGUUCAAUUAUGGUGUUUUCUUGCUCAACAAAAAUAUUAGUCAGAUUCGUUUUUAUGCCGGCCUUGGCACCACUGACCUUAGAAUGACCUUGCCCAACCUAAAGACUCUCCUAGAGUUACGACUAGGUGUAAAAACUGACUUUCCACUGCCAUGGACCCUAACCCCAACCAGUGGUACGGGAAAAAGCAUCGGCACGUCGACAGCCAUGGAAAGUACGCGCAGUACGGCCGGGUCCAGCUCGACAAACAGUCCCACCCCAAAAUGUGAUAUCACUCGUGUUCCUUCCAUCGAUCAGGGCAUAUCGGAAACCACCGGCCACACGUACAGUAGCACUAAAUCAGACAAUCUCCAGGUCCCCAACAAUGGCAAAGACCAUCGGUUACAACUGCAGGACAAUGAAGACAUAUUUUUAGCCAGCGACGACGACUUUUUUCGGAUCCGUAAUUCCAUAUCAAACACAGGGAUCAAUGACGAGUUGUCUACCCUGUCUGCCUACCAGCUGAAGGAGCUGACAUCUGCAGAUAGUCUGGAGGUGUUGGAUGACCGGUUGGCUCUCCUCAGUGAGGGCAGACUCAAUGAUCUGGAAGCCGUCAAGGCAACGCUGCAGAUUCACUUCGACAACAACGGUGACGGCGGUUCCGGUUCAAGUGCGAGGACAUCGUCGUGCAGCAACGGUGACGACAUCUCGUCGGGAGAGGACAAACACCACAGUAAGAAUGAUGGUGAGACGUUAAAUGGAGAAGUGCAAGGUGAAGGUCAGACGUUGAAUGGAGAAGUGCAAGGUGAAGGUCAGACAUUGAGUGGAGAAAUACAAGGUGAAGGUCAGACAUUGAGUGGAGAAGUGCACGGUGAAGGUCAGACAUUAAGUGGAGAAAUACAAGGUGAAGGUCAGACGUUGAGUGAGGAAGGUCAGACAGUUAGUGCUGAUGUUCAAGGUGAAAGUCACACAUUAAGUGGAAAAGUGCAAGGUGAAGGUCAGACAUUAAGUGCUGAAGUGCAAGGUGAAGGUCGGACAUUAAGUGACGAAGUGCAAGGUGAAGGUCGGACAUUAAGUGAUGAAGUGCAAGGUGAAGGUCGGACAUUAAAUCAAAGCCCAAGUGAAUUUGAAUGUGAUUUUCCUUCAGAAAGCUCACUCAGACACACGGGUGAUCAAACCAGCUGUGUAACAGAGAAUGUGGACAAAGCCAGUGACAUUAACGGGUGCCUGACGUCGACAACGUUUAAGACAUCUGCGUUCCAUGGUCACCGCGGGCGGAGGGAUUUGUCACCGGACAACAGUAGUCAGAGUAGUAUAUCGGACGAUUACACUCUGACGGCAGAGGUUGUGUCAUGAUCGGGUGGAAAGUUUUUGAUAGCAUAAUACAGACUAUUUAUUUUUAUGAUCUUCAAUCCAAAUAAGAGCCAUCGUCCAUAAGAGUAGGACUUUGUCUUUCUAACGAGAUUUUAGUACAUAUUUGAAUCCUUCAUUGUAGACCAAAAAACAAAACAAAAAGAAUCUUAAAACCCAGAGAGUUUUAAUGAUUUUGAAUCAAAAUAGAAUGAUCACUCAAUAUACGCAACACAAUUAACUAAAGGCCAAUAGACGUUUGUAAUUCUCUGUUAUUGUCAGAUUAUUUUAGCAAGGUUUGAUAACGGAUGAAUUCAAAAUAUUGUUUUAGUAAAAUUUGGCCCAUGAUAGACAGUAGAUUUUUUUUUUUUGGCGCAUUUACAUAAUAUAUGAAAACUAGCAAAAUGUGCUUUGAAUUCGUUACACAUUAGUUUAUAACAAUACUAUAACAGAAGAAUCUAAUUUUCAUUUUAACAUAUUUAAAAAACAAAUGGUAAGAAAAUAUCUAUUGGUCUUUAAUUAUUUUUAUUGAGUAUACAUGUAUAGACUCGAAUGUGUUAUUGUACAUUUUUACCACAAACAGAUCUCCAAAAAUAAGAAAAUCCCGACUAUUUUUGUGAUUUUGAAUCAAAUUAUGUGUAGUUAUGACCAGUUCUGGUGCUUAUAAAACGUUUUGAGUCUAGACUCGAGACUCUAAUAGAGUCUGAGACAGUAAUGUCAUGACAACGCCAUACAUACAAAAUUUUAUAAGCAUGGGCCCAGAGCCGGUUUAAGGAUCCGUGGGUACUGCAGCACAAAUAAAAGCAGGCCCCCUUCCCAGGAUAUAUAUUUUGCAACCCCCUCAUGGAGAGGGGGGAAUGACCUGUGGGAAAUAAAUGAAGUACUUAUUGUAUUAAUAAACUUGGGUAUAUGUGAAGGAAAAAAUGGUAAUGUUUUAUAAAUGUUAAUUUAAUUUAAUUCAUAGAAUAAUGUUUACACAUCACCGUAGGCCCCCUGAAGCGCGGGGCCCGUAGCACGUGCUACAUGUGCCACUAGGAUAAACUGGCUCUGAUUAUGACUCUGGGUCUCAAGCUAUCACUUCAUCUUUCAAACAAAAUUAAAUGAAUAGUCCAAUGCUCUGCUGUAGGUUCCCUAUAAAUAAUACAAUUACAAAAUUAAAUGAAUAGGCCAAUGCUCUGCUGUAGGUUCCCUAUAAAUAAUACAAUUACAAAAUUAAAUGAAUAGGCCAAUGCUCUGCUGUAGGUUCCCUAUAAAUAAUACAAUUACAAAAUUAAAUGAAUAGGCCAAUGCUCUGCUGUAGGUUCCCUAUAAAUAAUACAAUUACAAAAUUAAAUGAAUAGUCCAAUGCUCUGCUGUAGGUUCCCUAUAAAUAAUACAAUUACAAAAUUAAAUGAAUAGUCCAAUGCUCUGCUGUAGGUUCCCUAUAAAUAAUACAAUUACAAAAUUAAAUGAAUAGGCCGCUCUGCUGUAGGUUCCCUAUAAAUAAUACAAUUACAAAAUUAAAUACAGACUGUUUUUCACUUUUUGUCUUGACAGGGCUGCAGAAAGUACUCGCCCACUCAACAUAUGCGAGUAAACGAGUUAUACAAUACAAUUACUAGUCCGACGGGCAAUCUGGUGAUGUUGAUCACUUGGCCAUCCAUGUGUUAUUAAUAAUUGUCUAUUAUAAUAUUGUUAAACAAUAAUAUUGUGAUCUAUGGGCUGGUGGACUGGUAGAAAUACGGAUGGGCUACUAUAGUACAUUUGAAGUGUAUAUUAUAAUAUUGUUAAACAAUAAUAUUGUGAUCUAUGGGCUGGUGGACUGGUAGAAAUACUGAUGGGCUACUAUAGUACAUUUGAAGUGUAUAUUAUAAUAUUGUUAAACAAUAAUAUUGUGAUCUAUGGGCUGGUGGACUGGUAGAAAUACUGAUGGGCUACUAUAGUACAUUUGAAGUGUAUCUUAUAAUAUUGUUACACAAUAAUAUUGUGAUCUAUGGGCUGGUGGACUGGUAGAAAUACGGAUGGGCUACUAUAGUACAUUUUAGUUGGUUCUGGUCCGGAGGGCUAGUGAAAUAUUUUCCAUUUCUGCACCCCUGCUUGAUAACAAGAUACAAGUGUAGCAUUGAAUGCUCUACUGCAAGUUACAAACAUACGAAAACCAAAGACUAUUUUUAUGAGUGAUUCAUACAAGUUGGAGACUAUAACAUUGUUUUUUAACAAGAUUUAAUAAUAUAAUAUAUCAGUGUUUCUGCUAGAAAGAAAUUUUGGGGUAUGGCACUAUGGAAUUGAAUGCAACCGCAGUCAACAUGUGGUAGGUUUGGGGGUCCUCCUCCAAAAAGAAAAUAGGUUAAGUUUAGGGUUAGGGUUAAGAAUUUCAUACAGUAAUGAUAAGAUUAAUUAAUUUUGUCAAAAGGUUAACUUAAACAAUACAAAUGUGGGUAUGACGCCAUUUGACCCUCUGGCAGAAAGCCUGUAUAUAAUGUAGUGCCCUUUGCAGGACUUCUCGAAUUGUUAUAAACAUCCACUAGCCAUGGGAUCAGUGAUUUAAAACAUUUACCAGCCAGGAUAAAAAGUUCACUAACCCUGCUUUUAAGUGUAUACAAUUUUAAUAAAUAAUAGUAAGAAUCACAUAUGUUACCUAAACAGGGAGCUACAGCUUAAAAACACUAACAUUGGGAGAUGAGGGUGGGGACAGGAUAUUCAUAUUUACAAAAUAGACUUAACUGCAACAUUUGAAGAAAAUAAAUUCACUAGCCGUCGGGCAUGACAAUAGUAGUUAUCUACUAGCCCAACAUUGAAUAUCAUGGGUGUGGGGCUACCAUAAUCUAGAAGUCCUGGUCCAUUGAAUAAGUUUACAGAAACCUAAUAAGACCUAUAAGCAAUACAAUAUGGUACUUGAAGAGAUGGGGCAUGUUGUAGGUUUGCUAAACCAAAAACAUAUUAACUGUUACAAUUUUAAUGAAAUCCUGCAUAGCAUGGUGAAUUGGAUUUCGAGUUUUGUGAAACAAUUCUACCUGGAAAUCAUCCAUUGUGAAAUACUCGUACCUUGAAUCUAACGAUACGUGUAUUUUAAAAUAUUGCAUAGAACCAUGACUCUUGGGUUUAUAUGAUUGCAUCAUUGUCAUCUCUCUGUCUCAGUUUUUAAAAAUAUUUUAACAUGAUUUUUAAAGAUUUCUUGAUUGCCAUACUAAUCAAUGUUUAAUCAAAUAUAUAUCUGUACAGUGCACCCUCUGUCUCAACCAGAUUCAAGUUGUAUUGAGAAAAUAUGCCUAAUACACCCAGAUACUAUAAAAUACUUUAGUUUCGCGUGGAAUUUAUUUUCGUGUUUGAAUAAAAUUUGUGAAAAUAAAUUCCAUGUGAAAUUAAAGGCUGACGAAACUUUGAUAUUGAAAAAUAAAGCGUACAGGGUAGCCUAAGCAUCUUGCAUAAGCGUACAGUAUUUUGUAAACAAUAAAAGUAAAAAUUAUUGAUGUUAUUACUGGCACUUCAGGGUUUUUUAUCGGGUGAAGGGAUGGGGAAUUCGCGAGAAUAAAUGCUUGUGAACUGACUAAUUUUCAUUAAAUAGCAAAAAAAAAAUUCCCGCUAAAAUAAAUAAUUUUGUGUAGUACUUCAUGGAUUAGACAGAUAUCACUUAAACUAUUUUCACCAGACAGAACUUUGAGAUUGUGCUGUUUUAUAGAGAAAUCCAGAUUACAUAGGUGCCAGUUUAGACAGUUUCUGUAUAAGAUUUAGGGCAAGAUUUGGUUUUACUUUAUAAACUGUAAACAGCCAUGUGAUAUUUGAUAAUUUAUGAUAACCUUAUAUGUGUACCUAUAGUGUUACCCCUAGACAUUUGGCAUUGCAUGGUAGACUAAAGACUUUUAGGGCAUUUUCACAAUUUUCAGGGCACUUAUUUUUUUAUUAAAGAAAAAAAUAAUAAUUGCAAUAAAAAUAAUUGAGGAUUUUUCAUGUUUUUUUGUCAAAUAUGAUUUAUAUCUCGUGGAGUGAAA
rnacentral:misc_RNA from 1 species